CCUUCGUCCGGUCCGUGUGCUUCUUCUCCAUGGAGCUGCGACACCGCAGCAGCCGCAUCCAUGGAAGGUCCCUCUUCUCCUCCCCGCCUCUCUCUCCCUACCUCCCUCUGUUUGUUUCGAUCUGGAAACCGUCUGAUUCGAUUUCCUCACAUGCGCACGUGCUUCUUCCGCUCUCCGCUGCUCCAACCCUAGUGCCGACGCCAUGGACCUCGUCAAUAGUGGUUUGCUGCUGCCGCCGAUCGUUUCCCUGACAAGUUGACACCAAAGCCACCAUUGUCAAAGUCGCCGUUGGCCGGCGUUGCCACUGGUCGCUGCUCCACGCAUCUUGUCGGUGCUGCGAGGCGAUGCCAUCUGCAUCUGUUGCUGCAGCCUGGGAGGUGGCAGGGUCUCAAGGUGAUGCCCUCUUUGCUGCCCAAUCAUUGAAGAUGCCAUAGGACGAGAUCCUCUGCUGCUGCUGUGUCUGGUGGUUGAAGAAGGGGUGUGUUGGGAAGAGAAGGCAGUGUUGAGAGUGCUAGAUCUGGAACAGGACGAGCUUGGGCUGCAUCGGCUCUGGUUCUCAACCUCCAACAUGAGUCCCUUUCUUCCGUGCCUCGAACGCCACGAGUCAUCAUGGGCACUGCAGAUGCGGAAGAGUUUUACCCGGGCGAUCUGAUUGUUCCCGGCCGCGCUGGUGUCAACUACCUCGAGCCACUAUGACCAUCCCAACCACGCUCACCCCCCUGAACGAAUUGUUUGUGGAUCUGCAAAGGGGGAUUCAAUUAAUUUUCAGUUGUAGAAAAGGGAGAAGGGGGAUUCAAUUAAUUUUCCUCCUCAAGAUCAAAGAAACAAAAUCUUUGUGGCGAUGAUAGAAGGGGUUCACGACUUCAAGUUAAUACACAGACUAUUGGUAGCUCAUGGCGAGUGAUGCGUGAGCCGUCUCGAUCCUUUUGCUAUGUUAUUAUAUUUUAGCCAUGAAGGAUUUACUGCUUGUCAGUUCGUAGUGGUUCCGGCUGUUUGUUGAACUUCUGUUCUUGCUUGUGCUAUUUUUUUACUGUUUAGAUGGCUCAAUUUACUUCCAAUUUUACUCUUGAGUUUUCCCAUACAUGCAUACUCUUAUACCCCUCCUACUUGCUUGUUGGUUCUAUGCUCUACCUUUGUGAGGUGUAAUUGUUCAAUUUUAUUCAGAGUCGAGCAUUGGAUGAUAUUGUAUUUGUCAUGAUGUACAUGGUUCAUGAACUAUGCCAACCUGCAGCUUUGUUGUACUAGUGAUAGUAGGAUAAUGCAAGUUUUGACAAUCCAUGCCUAUUUCCGCAUCAUAAUAAUCUUCUUCUUCUAGUCUUCUUCUAGUCUUCUUCUUCUAACUUUCUUCUUUCCCAUU